rnacentral:rRNA from 1 species
GACGUAGGGCGCGAGCGUUGUCCGGAUUUAUUGGGCGUAAAGAGCUCGUAGGCGGCUUGUCGCGUCGACUGUGAAAACCCGCGGCUCAACUGCGGGCCUGCAGCCGAUACGGGCAGGCGUAGAGUUCGGUAGGGGAGACUGGAAAUUCCUGGUGUAGCGGUGGAAUGCGCAGAUAUCAGGAGGAACACCGAUAGCGAAGGCAGCUCGCUGGGACGGUACUGACG